rnacentral:rRNA from 1 species
UGUGUCCUACGGGACGCAGCAGUGGGGGAUAUUGCACAAUGGGGGGAACCCUGAUGCAGCGACGCCGCGUGGGCGAUGGAGUGCUUCGGCAUGUAAAGCCCUAUCAGCAGGGAAGAAAAUGACGGUACCUGACUAAGAAGCCCCGGCUAACCACGUGCCAGCAGCCGCGGUAAUACGUAGGGGGCAAGCGUUAUCCGGAUUUACUGGGUGUAAAGGGAGCGUAGACGGCAGUGCAAGUCUGGAGUGAAAGGCGGGGGCUCAACCCCCGGACUGCUCU